rnacentral:rRNA from 1 species
UACGAAGGGUGCUAGCGUUGUUCGGAGUUACUGGGCGUAAAGGGCGCGUAGGCGGUCUGUCAAGUCGGGAGUGAAAUCCCUGGGCUCAACCCGGGAAUUGCUCUCGAGACUGGCAGGCUAGAGGAUGGGAGAGGUUGGUGGAAUUCCCAGUGUAGAGGUGAAAUUCGUAGAUAUUGGGAAGAACACCGGUGGCGAAGGCGGCCAACUGGACCAUUUCUGACGCUGAGGCGCGAAAGCGUGGGGAGCAAACAGG